rnacentral:rRNA from 1 species
UGUGAGUGAUGAAGGUUUUCGGAUCGUAAAGCUCUGUCGGGUGGGAAGAAUAAAGGCUGUGUAAAUAAUGCAGUCUGAUGACGGUACCACCAAAGGAAGCACCGGCUAACUCCGUGCCAGCAGCCGCGGUAAUACGGAGGGUGCAAGCGUUGUUCGGAACUAUUGGGCGUAAAGGGCGUGUAGGCGGGUAUGCGGGUCAGGUGUGAAAGCCCUCGGCUCAACCGAGGAAGUGCAUUUGAAACCGUAUAUCUUGAGUACGAGAGAGGCAGAUGGAAUUCCCAGUGUAGAGGUGAAAUUCAUAGAUAUUGGGAAGAACACCGGUGGCGAAAGCGAUCUGCUGGCUCGAUACUGACGCUGAGACGCGAAAGCGUGGGGAGCAAACAGGAUUAGAUACCCUGGUAGUCCACGCCGUAAACGAUGUGCACUAGGUGUUGGGGGUAAUUAAACCUUCAGUGCCGCAGCUAACGCAUUAA